AUUAGUUAUGCUCUGCAAUGGGAUGGGAUGCGAAACCCCUCAAGGGAUAAUACAGGUUCUCCCAUCCAACUCCUAUUCCGACACGUCCUCGUCGUGCAGAGUGGCAACGUGUGCCAUCACUUAUCCAAGUUUGGGUACACGGGCUUGACCCAACCCCUUGGGCGGAUGGUGGGAUAUGGCGAACCAAGAGGGG
rfam:Anopheles gambiae str. PEST chromosome 3R, whole genome shotgun sequence.